rnacentral:rRNA from 1 species
GACAGAGGGUGCGAACGUUGUUCGGAAUUACUGGGCGUAAAGCGCGUGUAGGCUGUUCGGAAAGUCGGGUGUGAAAGCCCUGGGCUCAACCUAGGAAGUGCACUCGAAACUCCCGAACUGGAGUCCCGGAGAGGAUGGCGGAAUUCUCGGUGUAGAGGUGAAAUUCGUAGAUAUCGAGAGGAACAUCGGUGGCGAAGGCGGCCUUCUGGACGGUGACUGACGCUGAGACGCGAAAGCGUGGGGAGCAAACAGG